rnacentral:lncRNA from 1 species
AGCACCCCGCAGCACGGGGACACCUACAAGUGCCACGUGCAGCACGCCAGCCUGAAAAGCCCCAUCACCUACGAAUGGGUGCUCCCAGCGGAUGCCGCCAGGGGCAAGAUGCUGACGGGCGUCGGGGGCUUGGUGCUGGGGCUCAUCUUCCUGGCGCUGGGGCUCUUCCUCUACGUGCGCAGAAAGGGCGCAUCGCUCCCCCGGCUGCAGGUAACGCCCCCCACCCGCGGCCCUGCUGCACCCUCCCCGUGCGGGCUGCUUCCCCUUGCCCCCUCCCAGCACCAGGGCAGCGCGGCCCUGGGGGGCCGUGGGGCACAGGGCUGGGGCGCUGCCCCCAACCCGCUGCUCACCCCCUGCUCUCUCCCCGCAGGGCUCCUGAAGCAGCUCCGGCUCCUGCGCCUCGGCUCCUCCGUGCCCAGCACCGCCUCUACCCCGUGCUCGCCCGGCUCCUGCCCUCGAUACCCGGUCCCGCAGCCCCACAGCCCUCUGCUGCUCCCUAUGGUCACCCCCUCCCUCGCUCCCAUCCCAUUCUGGCUUGGCUGGGGCCACUGGGAGCCCCAAAUAAAGUGUCCCAGUGCCCCGCGUCCCUGCUGCUGUGGGGAUGGUGGGGCAGGGGCGGGCACCGCGCACACGGCUCCUAAGCCUUGGGGGGGACGGGGCUGCUUGGGGUCUGGGUCUGCAGAGCCCAGCGGGGGCGCUGAGUGAAGGGGUGAAGGCAGCGUCCUGUGGGAGGGGGGCUGGUGGCGGAGCCAGCGUCCUGCUGCCUCUGGGUGUUGGGGAUGGGUGCGGGGUGCGAGGGUCCUGGGCAGGACUUUUGGGGUCUGGGAACUGGGGCACCCAUCCAGCUCCCUCAGGUACCCCUCUCCCCACCCUGAGCCCCAACACGGCCCCACCAGAGCCCGCUGCCCCAAACUGGUCCCCAGGCUGGGACACCCCACGGUCCCCCUGUACCCACCCACCAUCCCCACGCGGUACCCCGGGGGUCACGCCACCGUCCCACCCAGGUCCCACUGUGCUCCCCCCAAAUCCCCCAGUCCCCACAGCAUUUUGGGGCCAAGCACCCCACAAAGUGGCGACAACGGGGCUCCAGUGACACUGGGCUGCCCCCAAGCACCGUUGCUCCGCCGGGCAGCAUGGGGGGUGCCGAGGAACAGCCUCAGGGGGUGGUCGGGGCUGAAGAUGGAGGGGACGAGGGGCGUGGGGCCACCGUGGCACCCUGGGUGUUGGGGGAGUGAAGGCUGGUAGGAGGACUUGAGUAGCCCACGGCUCUAGCACGCCACAGGUCGUGGCCACGGCGCUUGUCCUGCUGCCCCUCGCUGCUGGAGUGCUCCGGCAGCGUCACCCGCUCGGUGGUGGUGGAGAAGUGACACUGCAGCUGGAGGUGGAACUGGAAGAACCCUGCGUGGGUUCUUCUUCCAGACCUCGGCUGCUCCCCGGGGUUGCCCCCUGCCUUGAUCCAUUCCCAGCCCGGCUGUUUCUGGGGACACAUGCUGGUGUCGUUCCUGCCCCAUUCACUCCCCCGCACACACAUUUUGGGUUGGGUUGAGACCUGUUGCCCCCGGGGCUCUUGGCCUCCUUGAGCCCUGUUACGGGCAGGCCUCAAAGGGUUGUAGGAAAUGGGGCCGAAUCAGUCUCCAGGGUCAACAGUGGUGUCCCCUCAGGCUCCAUUUUAGGGCCACUGCUCUUCAAUGUUUUAUAAACCAUG